rnacentral:tRNA from 3 species
CGGAAAGAAAGGGAUUCGAC